AUUGAACGCUGGCGGCAGGCCUAACACAUGCAAGUCGAACGAAUGGCGGACGGGUGAGUAAUUUCUGGGAAACUGCCUGAUGUAGGGGGAUAACUACUGGAACAGUUAGCUAAUACCGCAUACCAUCGGAUGUGCCCAGAUGGGAUUAGCUAGUAGGUGGGGUAAAGGCUCACCUAGGCGACGAUCCCUAGCUGGUCUGAGAGGAUGACCAGCCACACUGGUACUGAGACACGGGCCAGACUCCUACGGGAGGCAGCAGGGGGGAAUAUUGGACAAUGGGCGCAAGCCUGAUGCAGCCAUGCCGCGUGUAUGAAGAAGGCCUUCGGGUUGUAAAGUACUGUCAGCGGGGAGGCGUUACCCGCAGAAGAAGCACCGGCUAACUCCGUGCCAGCCGCCGCGGUAAUAC
rnacentral:rRNA from 1 species